UGUCCCAUUUGACUACCACAUUUUCUCCAAACAUAGACUUUAGUGGCUAUGCUUAUGGGAUACAUUAAACUUGCCAUGAUCUGAAGGGGGAGGGUUCUAAAGUGCCCUCCUUCUAUAUGAAAUGGCUGAACAGAAGAUC